AGGGUAAUAGCUCAGUGGUAGAGUGUGUGCUUAGCAUGCACAAGGUCAUGGGUUCAAGCCCUAGUACCCCCA
rnacentral:tRNA from 1 species